GGGUCAGUAGCUCAGCUGGUUAGAGCGCCUCCCUCUUAAGGAGGAUGUCGUGGGUUCGAUUCCCACCUGACUCACAA
rnacentral:tRNA from 1 species